ensembl:lncRNA
AUGCUCUCUCUGCCUCCUGUGACUUUCUUUUCUGCACUGGGCACCCACUCUCCUACUGCAGACCCAUUUCUCCUGACAGCAGCUCUGGCUUCCCAUCCCACAUCUUCGCCACCCAAGAAUGGCUAUCCUCUUCUCUUGUCAGCUCAGAAGAUCUCAGGGAAAGACCAUGUCCUGUCCCAAACCUGGAGCAGAGUUAGAGGGUGGUUGGUCGCCCCUGCUGAAAUCUCACGGACAGAGAAGGAGCUCUCUUCUCAGAAAAGGGGUACUCUACUCAAGAAAGUGACAGACCAAAGAUGUCCUCCAGAGAGAGGAAGUUAAAGGAGGCAUUUUCAUGUGGGACUUGGGGAGACCCAGGGCACAGGCAUGGGUGCUUCAGGGCCUGGGUGAUUAAAUGCAGCCAACACAGCUCUGGAAAAAAAUACUCGCCUUGCUCCUCGCCAGGAUAAUGAGGCCACAGGGCCAUCUAAUUCUUCCCAGGGCUGCCACUCAGGAAUUACCAGGGGAGGGGAGGCUGCAGGCCCCGGGGCAGGGACAUUGACAAGAGCCACCCUUGGGGGACUAGGGCAGUGGGUACCUGCAAGGAGGCCUAAGUGGAGGAACUUGGCUGGAGCUCAUACACGGCUCCCCCUGGCACUCCCAGACCCAGCUGAAAAGGCUGUGAAGGGAGGCCAAGGUGCUGGCCAGCAGAAUGGAGAGGGACACUCUGAAAUUAACAUGCCCGCCUGUACACCCCCAGCUGGCAGGGCCCAGGGACAUCUGGGGAACAGGUAACAUUAUCGAUCACAUGUGCAGACGAAAGCGACGGAACAGAAGCUGGAAAAUACUGCAACAGUUGAAAGGUGGAGAGAAUACAGAUGACCUUUGCUUCACCAUUACACAUUUCUGUGUUUUCCAAAUUUUCUACAAUGAGCAUGUAUCACUUUUAUAUUUACAAGAAAAAAAUUAACGCCACAUUUUUCAGAGGAAAAAAAUGUGAUGUGACAGGUGCUAUCAUCAGUGUUCAGCAUGCUNNNNNNNNNNNNNNNNNNNNNNNNNNNNNNNNNNNNNNNNNNNNNNNNNNNNNNNNNNNNNNNNNNNNNNNNNNNNNNNNNNNNNNNNNNNNNNNNNNNAAAAUGUGAUGUGACAGGUGCUAUCAUCAGUGUUCAGCAUGCUACAGAGCAGAGUGCAGGGAGCAGGGCUAUUCAACCUUUCUGAGGCAGGCUCAACCCCUGAGAACAGAGCUCUCAACCAAGAGGCCUUGGCUCCCCAGAAUUCAGCAUGCCGCACUCUGCCUCUGCCAAGAGACUGUGAGACAAAAAGACAAACCCCAGGGAGGCAUUCUGGAGGGAGCCUUGCUUGUCCUCACCUCUGACCCCUGUCCCAACUCUGCCCCAUCCUUCCCAUCAAUCAUCACAGAAUGUUUUGCUCAGAAUUUUGCUAGAUUACCUGGCCAGGUGGGUAGUUAAGAGGGAAAUGCUCGGGAAGUGUCUUCAGUGACUUACGCUGAAACUAAAGACAAAGCGGCAAAGCUCAGCACAAAGGUCUGUGGACUAGGAGUCUGGAAACCCAGGGGCAGACUCUGGCUUGGCCAUAGGCUUGGCUUGGGACCUGGGAUGAGUUGUUUUCCUAGCCGGCCCACAUUCCCAGGUCUGAAGGGAUAGAGUGGGAGGAGACAAGGAAGGUCUGAAUCCAAUGUUGACACUCCAAAUAUAGACAAAAGAACCAUUGCUUCCAGCCUUCUGAUGUCUAAUCACAGUAAGAAAACCGCUGGUGGCAAGAUCAGACUCCACAUCUACGCACGAGAAUGGCCACCUGCCUCUGUCACUGACUCAUUCAAGAAAUGCAUGUACUCACCCAUUCAUUCAAAUAUAUUGAGUACCUGUAUACGCCAGGCCCUGUGCUAGGCACCGAGGAUGUGGCAUGAACAAGGCAGAGAAGCACCCUGCUUUUAUGGAGCUUAUGUGCUAAUGGAGAGACAGACAAUAAGUAAGUGAACCACUGAACGCUGAGAUAAGUGUUGUGGGAAAAUGAAACAGUGAGGAGCUGGCAGCAUCACUUUAAAUCUGGUGAUCGGAGAGGGCGAUACAUGAGCUGAGAUCUGAAUAGAUCAGCUGUAUUAGUCAGUAUAGGAUAAGCUCUGCUGCGGUAACACAUUAAUCCCCAAAUCUCAGCAGUUCAACACAACUUAGAUUAAUUUCUUGACCAUGCAAAGGCCAGCUGAAUGGGACAACUCUCCGGGAUGCUUCCCCCCACACAGUGGCUCAGCAGCUAUUCAAGAGUUGGAUUAUUCUGCAAGGAAAGGAAUUCUCCUCACUCAACGCUCACAGCCCAUUGGC